rnacentral:lncRNA from 1 species
CAAGAACCUUCUUUAAAAUUGUGCUAUAGAAUUAAGGACCAAAGUCACCACAUCACAUCGCAAUUUGACUUAAAUUUCCCCACCUAGUGCCCUACUCAUUUACAUGUACAAAAUCUCAGAUGGGUUUGGUUCCCCAUCAUUCCUAAGCCUACCAAAACAAAACCCAAAAAGGAAAAAAAAAUUCAAAAUUGUGGAAGAUUUCUCUAUGAUCCAAUCAUCAUCGUCUUUGUCUGGCACCCAACUGAGAAGUGAGGCUAAUGAAGGUCUCUUCUUUGCAUGGAAUUGUAAGACCACCCAUUGGAUGGUUGAAGCCAAACUCUUCUUCUGCUCUCUUAAGCAACACUUUGAAAGAAGGGUGGUUCAAGUAAGAAACUGGAACCACAUACCUCUUCUUUCCCAUUUCUCCUACAUAUACUGCAACAUGCCCUUUUGGAACCUCGUGAGAUUUAGGCUGCAGCUUCAGAAUGUGCUUCACUCCAUGUACCAUAGAAGAAGGCAAACGAAUCAUCAUACCCAUAAAAUGAUCACUAAAACUUUGCAAAAUAUAGUUGAGAGAGAGAGAGAGAGUUUUUGCUGAAUUUGCUUGAUGUAAAAGCUAGGAAUUGUUUGAAGCCCAAAUUGAUUUUGUACCUCUAUUUAUAGAAGUUCCCAAAUUUCUGUAGAGUUGGAUAAUGAGGUCACAGUGAGGCUGUGUGGCACUGGCAGGGCAGGCAGCAAAAGCUCACAUGGGUUUCAUCAUCUUAG